CUGUUAAGGGGGCCGGGCGUGGAGGGGGCCGGGCCUGCCAGGGGCCUAUUGGACGCCGCUCGGCCCUUAUUUGCAUAUUCAUGAGGCAGGGAGAAGGCUGGACGCCGGAGUCCGCUUGGAGAGGUGAUGAAUUAUUCAUGAAGUGUUUCGCCCCGCCCUAGAAGGCCGGGUUGAUUAUUCAUGAGCUCGAGAGGCGGGUUUGAACCGGAAAAGGCCGUUGUGGCGCCGUCGGCGGUGAGAGGUGGACGGGCGAGGGCCGCGAAGGAAAAGGGCCCCGGAGGACUGUCCGUUUCUAGUCUUCUGUGAACUUUUCCUUUUCUUUUCGCUGGAGAGUUUCGAGCCCCGAUUUGAAAGUCUAUCGCGGGGCGCCACAUACUGUGAGGAGGAACGUCGGGGCCGAGGAGAAGGCCUGGGGGGAGCUUGUUAGACUUAAAAGAAUCCUGAUACGUUACUAUAAUGGCCAUUGCUCAGCUCUCUCACUCCACCAAAAUUCACAAGGCAUCUAAGAGACCAGUUUUCCCAUUCCAAAUUUGUGAUCAGGAAGAGUCACUGACAAUGGUGAAGAAACUUUUUGCUACUUCUGUCUCAUGUAUAACAUAUUUAAGGGGCCUGUUUCCAGAAAGCUCUUAUGGAAACCGCCAUUUGGAAGACCUCAAUUUAAAAAUCCUCCGAGAAGAUGAAAACUCUCCUGGGUCAGUGCAUAUUGUUAAAUGGAUUCAAGGUUGUUUUGACGCUUUGGAAAGGGGAUACCUACACAUGGCAAUACUUACACUUUACCCAAAUCCCAAGGAACCUGAGAAAGUGACUGAGAUAUACCAGUUCAAAUUCAAAUACACAGAUGAAGGAAUCACUAUGGAUUUUGACAGCAGUAAUACGAGCACCGAAAGUGGGACAAAGAGGGGACAUAUGAAGAAAGCCAGCAUUCUACUACUCCGUAAAUUGUAUAUCCUGAUGCAGAACCUUGGACCCCUUCCUAAUGAUGUUGUACUUACUAUGAAACUCCACUACUAUAAUGCAGUGACCCCCGAUUAUUACCAGCCCCCUGGGUUUAAACAUGGGGUGAACUCACACAUCCUGCUGUUUGAGGGGGAGCCCGUAAACCUGCAAGUGGGAGUGGUCUCGACUGGUUUUCACAGCAUGAAGCUAAAAGUCAUCACGGAAGCCACCAGAGUGUCCGAUUUGGAGGAUAAUCUCUUCCAGGAGAACAGCGUCACCGAGAUGGCCCAUCAGGGUCUGGACGGCGAUGAGGAAGAAGAGGGAAGCAACAACCAAGUUCAGAGAACGAAUAUUGUGUUUGGUCAGCAAAGCUCCGAGAGCGCCAGGAAGAAGAGGAAGGUCAGCGAACCAUUGGAACGCAUCACCCCAGAGAGCAAAUGAGACAGAGGCCUCUGCUACGUCUUUCCCCAAAUAAUUUUGUUUUUCAACAAACUACAUGAAGUGUCUUAGUAGGAGAAUUAAUGUUUCUCCAAGUGCAGUGAGAACACCAGCACCUCUAGCGCUUGUGAAAACAGAGUUUACAAGGCCCGCUUCAUUUCCACGGAAUCCAAAUCUCCAGGGACGGGGCCCUAUGGAAAACUCCCCAGAUUCUAAUGUGCACACAAGAUGGAAACCCUGAAACCUCUGACCCAGACUAAUAGGAGCAUCUCUGGGGCCAGACGUGCACUUCAGCUGGAAGAAGCCUGUGCUAUCGUAAGAGGAGAAUCCGGGGAGCGCCCCUGUCCAGCUCCGCCCGCCCUUUGCCAGGCUCUCAUCCGUUUCUGACCUUCCACAGAGGGGGGGUCUCGAAUUGGGCUCACACCAGGGCUCACACCCUGCUAUGGGGGAGCACUCUCCCUCUCCCUGCUUGUGAAGUACCCUCACAGAAGCUUGCUCUGCCACUAGAAGGAGAAGGAGGGGAAAGGUAUUGUGUUUAUUAUAUCCUUGGUAGAACUGUAGCCUGAGUCACCACAAUUUCUUUUAAGAGAGUCGUAUAAGGAGCUUAGCUGUCUACCAGAGGGAUUAGGUUUAUUGUGUAUCUCUCCGGAGGGUAGAUCUAACACCAAACUAUUGAAAGCCACAGAAGGUCCAUUUGGCUCAGUAUAAGGAGGCACUUUUUAAGGCUGUCAGAAUUUUGCAACGGGCUGCUGCCUUAUGAGGCAUGAGUGCCCCUCCGUAACCAGUGUUUGACUCUCAAAGCAAAGCAGUUCUAUGGAACAGUCAGCCUCGGUCUCAGAAGGAACCAUUUUGCUUAAAAAGAGAAUUUAGCUCUCAAUCUGUGUUUACACAUUUCAUCAACGUAGCCUAAGGUUGACAGAUCCUGUAAGUCAAAGUCUAGAACAGCCGUGGGCAAACUACGGCCCACGGGCCGGAUCAGGCCCGUUUGA